CCGGACCACCCAGCAGUCUGGAAGGAGGUGGCCUCGAGCUUAGCAAGGGUGAGCCAUCGAUGCAGACUCAGGGUCUCGUAGGGCUUGGUUCGAAGCACUGCUGUCACAUUCCUGAAGUUUGUAACACCGUCUCCCUAGGUAGCCCCAGGAUGAUCUAAAGUUCGCAUUUCUUCUUGGCGCCUCCCCCAUGCGCCAUCACACCGGGUUAAAUUCCGAAUUUUAUAACAUGACACUACAUGCUUA
rnacentral:lncRNA from 1 species